CAAAACCUAGCCUUAAGGAUGGGGAUAACAGACGGAAACGACUGCUAAUACCGAAUACGUUCUAAGCAUCGCAUGGUGCAUAGAAGAAAGGGUGGCCUCUACAAGAAAGCUAUCGCCUUAAGAGGGGUUUGCGACUGAUUAGGUAGUUGGUGAGGUAACGGCUCACCAAGCCGACGAUCAGUAGCCGGUCUGAGAGGAUGAACGGCCACACUGGAACUGAGACACGGUCCAG
rnacentral:rRNA from 1 species